GCCUCCGUGGCGCAAUCGACCAGCGCUUUCGGCUGUUAACCGAAAGGUUGGUGGUUCGAUCCUACUCGGGGGGG
rnacentral:tRNA from 1 species